rnacentral:rRNA from 1 species
CAGUAGCCGCGGUAAUACGUAGGGUGCAAGCGUUAAUCGGAAUUACUGGGCGUAAAGCGUGCGCAGGCGGUUUGUUAAGACAGAUGUGAAAUCCCCGGGCUUAACCUGGGAACUGCAUUUGUGACUGGCAAGCUAGAGUAUGGCAGAGGGGGGUGGAAUUCCGCGUGUAGCAGUGAAAUGCGUAGAUAUGCGGAGGAACACCGAUGGCGAAGGCAGCCCCCUGGGCCAAUACUGACGCUCAUGCACGAAAGCGUGGGGAGCAAACAGGAUUAGAUACCCCAGUAGUCCCUGUCUCUUAUAC